UGCUGAUUGCAAACUGAUUGAAACGUGAAUAACUGUAUAUACUACUGCAUUGAAGCUUGAGGCAGUGUUUAAACCGAAACAAUUAAACAUGCAAUCAAAUAUAAAUUUACUAAAUGCGACCGGAUUAUAAUAAGUCUGGUAUUACUACUGUUCCAGUUUGGAUAGAAAGAACUAUCCAAUUUUGGUAGACCUAACUAACCUGCCGUCCUCCAUCCAAGAAAUACAGUUGAGAAAUGUUUGUUGUUCUACUACCUGGCUUCGCAAUCUGUUAAGCAACAUGUUAUCACUCGAUCAUGAAGUUGUGUGUGUACUGACAUUGUGCUCUGACGAAGAGAAAGCUCUUUUCUUGAGUUUCAACGUACGCAUAACGACAAAUGCAAAUAAUACACUCACCAUGUCUCACAUAUGUGACAACAAUCCAAAUUUGUGGAAAGUUCUACAUGGCCUGAAUAUCAAGCACCUCAGUUUGGGAGGAUGGGAUAUUUGGAGGGAUUUUUUAAAGUAUGACGUUCUCUGUGUGCAUUCGUCACAUGUGCAGACCAGAGCGUUUAUCAGUCGGUACUGCUCCGUGGGCAGAGGUGCCUUGCACAAGGGACUCACUAAGCCGCCAUUAGAAGACAAUGACCCAACCCAGGCCAAACAGCUGAGGGUAAACCGACUGAGAAAUCCGGUUGGGCAGCUUAAAGAUCUAUACCCUCUACAGAAGAGUACCAUGCUGGCAGCCUUCAAGUAUUUGAGCUGGUCGAUGAAGCAGGAAAUUCCUCAUACAACAAAAUAUAUCCCCAAUAAUAAUAUAGGUAAGUUGUUCGCCUGCUCCUCCCUACAUAUACAUCUUCAGCUGGAAGAUGCUUGACUCGGCUGUCAAGAACACACGUACAAACAAAAUACGCUGUUUAGCUUAAAUAGCUCUUUCUAUUUAAUUCGAAACGAUUUAAAAGAUCUAACGUCAGAGUAAUUAACACGUCGUGCGUAUUUAAGACUGCGAGAGGGGCUUCAGCUCAAUGAAAAGGGUAUACAAUUGUUCUCGCCUAAAGUCUGCAGUCCUCAGCGCUCUGAUGGUGGUCAGCAUAAAAGGACUAGAUAUUGAAGCAGUGGACUGUGGAAGAACGGUUAAUGUCUGGCACCAGGAGAA